ACACACUAAUAUUAAACAGAAAAACAACAUAAAUCAGUGUUAAACACAAACAAAUUUUAGGUAAAUUAAAUAAGGUUUUCAUUUUCAAUCAAUAUAAAAGAAAUAAACGCAAUAAAAAACAAUGUCAGUGACGUAAUAAAUAUGUGUAAAUUUACACGCAUCAUUUAUUAAGCAUUAUAAAAAAUCCAGCAAUAUGAUUAAACUUUGGUUAUUUGUUAUUAUCCCUGCAUUCAAAUGGUUGCAGGUUGGAGCAGGAAGUUAACCCUUCUGUCGCGCAAGCGCGAGCAUAGACAGUGGUCGCGAGGCCAUUCGUACGUCACGUGAGCGCCAUUUUCAUGAUAUGACCGUUUUUCCUCAGGCACACUUCAACAUUUUCUUCGCAUUUAACAUCAUUAUUAACAUGUAAAUAAUAUAAUUCGUAAACAUAACGUUUAUGUUAAUUUAUAAUAUGUUUUUUUUUAUUAUUGUUGGCUUUAAGUUAAUUUGUCUGUCAGACUCAGUUUGUUCGUGUUGUAGCCUGUUAACAGUAGACCAAAGGUAUGAUGAUCAAUUAUAAAUGCAAUAUGGUUGAAAGGUCAGUAAACAAACAACAAAAAGGUAAUUUCUUAAUAGAAUGUCUAUACAUUUUUUGCUUUUGUUACAUAUUUCAUACAUCAAAAUCAUUAAACGUUAAUAAUUAUGUAUUCCAACUUGUUGCAGCUUGACAAAAAUGUAGCUUGAAGGAGAAGGGACAGCUGAGUAACAAAGUCCUGGUAUGCAGACGACGAUACUAUUACACUGACAAGAGUGUAAUGAUGAUGGAGACACAAGCCAGAGAAAGGGGGGACCAAACACCAGGCCAGAAUUCUGCAUGAGUCAGAUCCAGUGGGUGCAGAUCAUCAUACAGAUGGUUCAAGUGUGGAUCCACCUAAUAUUCAAGAUUUUCUGUCCUGGGACACUCGGCUAACCAUCAAGAAAGAACACACUCCAGUGGGCAUCCUUUAUCCAUCCAGACCCUCAUACAGAUGGUUGGAGUUUUGAUUCACCUAAAGUACCAUGCAAGAGCACUCAUUUUCCCUCUUGAGACCAUGGUGUGACCUGCAAGGUCGAAUGGAGACUGUAAACAAGACAAUCUUGGAGUCACCUGCAUUCACUGGUCCAGUUGUUAGUCCAAUUACAGAUGGAGAUUAUAGAAGAGGAUGAUGUCUUUUCUCCAACAUCUUUCUAGACUGAUAAAAGAUCUAGACAGGCUUGAACAAAAGUUAACAGAGGGGCUUAUAUAGAGAAUGGUGAGCAGCUACACAUAAAAGAAGAACAUGGAGAAUCUGCCCAGAGGUGUUAACCAGCAAUGCAGCUAUACAACUAAAUUGAUGCAGGCGGAAACAAUAAUGCAGCUGCUGCAGAUGAAGAAUCUGUCCGUCUACCACUGAAGGAGACGCGGAAAAUCGGGAAAAGAUGUUCUUUGCCCGAGGAAGCAUUUGAUUAAUUUAAAGAUAUUGUGUUUCUUUGUAUGUUAUAGAAAAACAUUGCUUUUUUGCAUACACUCGUGUAAAUAUGCAUCUUAUGAAUGUUUUCCUUUGUCUAAUUUUAAUAAAUUUUACGCAAUCAA